GGAUUUAGGAAUUUUCCACAAAUGACAUUUAUAUUCUAAGAUUAAUUUGCUAGUGCAGUGCUUAUACUUCCCAGGUUUCUGUUUGCUUAUGUACCAGAAAAAUGUGCUCUGCUAGACUGACUGUAGCGAUUAGUUAAAUUACUCAUACAUCAAUUAUUAGAAAGGGAAAAAAAAAAUCAGCCAAAAAACUCUUUUCCACUUUGAGCCUAUGUUUGUUUAUCACCACUUGAUGAUAACUUUCUGCUUGAAUGAUGGCUGCUAAUUUUGUUUAUGGCUCUUGAAUGUCAAUUGUGCACAUAGUUGUGAAACAAAAUGCGGACUGGUAGUUAUGGGUAUGUAUUGAUGCAUAUUUCCAUGACAGCUUAUUGAGAAAGCUGGAAUUAGGCUUUACCCUAGUUCCUGUGCCCAUGUUCUCCCACUGGGAAAGGCUGCUUUCAGUCUCCUGCUUUUGGAUGCUGGGGGACUGUUUUACCUCCUUUUCCACAAGGGGUUGGCAAAGUGCUCCGGAAUGGCUUAAAAUAACUUGCUUUGGAAGCUGCUGCAAAGGAUGAAAGGCAGUCGAGUCCAUCCGGCAUAGGCAUUUUCAGUUGGACCAUUUCUUCCACUAAAUAAAACGGAUAUAGUAUGCCCUCCUUAGAAUGAGGUAUAUAAAAAUGGAUACAUUUAAAUUCACUGAAACAGGAUAUCUGCAUCGUAAAGGAAACACUUGCGCUGUAUGCUUCCAUACAACAUCACACCUCUAGAUCACACUGAAUUUAAGGACAAACGCUUCUCUUCCCUGGGCUGCUUGCACCAAGCUGAUGGCUUUAAGCAUACCAACCUGGUCCCGUGGAGCUACUCAGGUCCAGAGUUAUGCAGCAGUGUCUUCAAGGCCACCCUUUGCAUACAGAUGUGAAUUCGUAUUGCAUUGCUGCUCUGUGCUGCAUCCCUGCAAGGGAGUCUGCUUGCUACUUGGAUGGCAGAUGCACAGAGCAUUCAGAAAUUAAACUAUAUUCCAAAAGGUCUGCUUCAAAACCCAGCAGCAAGGCUAAGGGCCUCAAUAUUGCCUGUAUUGUCUGAGGGAGAAUAGCCGAAGGAAAAUGUUCCCAACACUGAAAAGCAAAGAUGUGCUGGAGACCAACAACAGUAAUUGUAAGUAUACAGCAUAAACACAUGAACAUGACCCAAAUUCCAGAGUGGUGAGCCCUCCACCCAUCUGCCCACCCUCCCUCAGCCCAACGUCAGGCCAGGUGGCUAAAAACAGUAGUGAGCGGUCGCAUAGAGACGUUACUCCUUGCCAUGGGGAAAGCAGAUGCAUUUGCUUCAUGUUAAUGGCUCACAGAAAGAAAGCUUUCUAUAUUAUUUCGCCCCUCAAAAUACAGCUUGGAGAAAGCCACAGCUUUUGUGGCUUCACAUAAUGCAUGUGAAUGUCAGGUCUGGUUGCUGAAGAGCAUGCAGUUAAGUAGUACUUGAGGAAACCAAGCCACGGAAGUUGUUGGGGUUUUGGGGGGCUUUUGUUUUGAACAACAAGCUUUUAAAUGUUGGUUAACUUCUUAUAAAGCGGCUCCAAGUCAUUUCCUGCUCCUCUGAAUGGGAAAGCCUCAGGAUUCACUGAGGAAUGAAAAUGGUUGAUAUUUCUUUGUAUUCCCUUUCAUCCCUUUUAUUCAAAAGUGAAAGAAUUAAAAUAAGUUUUUGUAGUAGAAGAACAUGGAUUCAGUGCUGUUUUUCUACAGAUGCAUUGUCCUACAAAGGCUCUGCAGUGUGCAGGGUUAGGCCUGGAAGCAGCAGCUCUCUCAUGAGAGCAUCCACAAGCAGCUCAUGAAAAAGAAUGAUCCUUUCCCCUGCACUGUGCAGCCCCCAAAUCUGAUUUUGCUCUGCUGGCCUUAGGGGCUGUUUGGCAGCCCCUGGGACCAUGCAAGGGUUCUGUGGAAGAGACAGAUUUAUGCUGUAUGGAGGAGUCCCAGCAUGUGCACAGAGGAGGCUGAGCCCUUGGACAGAGCAGGGCUACAAGGAAGCAUCUUUUCUGGAUUUCUUAUAUUCUCCCACCCAGCAGGAACCCGACCCUGUGACUCCUGGGGAAAAGUGAUAUUAAAAGAUGUCAUUUCCCUUUUGGGAACUUAGUUUUGACUCUGCCCAUAAAUGGCAAGAUUCUGAAUCAAAGCUCUUCCCACAGGGAACCAAAGAGUUCAGGGUAUUUGUCUAUGUCCUUGUCACUAAUAAAACCAAAUUGACUUUUAAAAAUAGCUCUUGU
ensembl:lncRNA